rnacentral:rRNA from 1 species
UAGUGGCGACGGGUGAGUAACACGUGGGCAAUCUGCCCUUCACUCUGGGACAAGCCCUGGAAACGGGGUCUAAUACCGGAUAACACUCUGUCCCGCAUGGGACGGGGUUAAAAGCUCCGGCGGUGAAGGAUGAGCCCGCGGCCUAUCAGCUUGUUGGUGGGGUAAUGGCCUACCAAGGCGACGACGGGUAGCCGGCCUGAGAGGGCGACCGGCCACACUGGGACUGAGACACGGCCCAGACUCCUACGGGAGGCAGCAGUGGGGAAUAUUGCACAAUGGGCGAAAGCCUGAUGCAGCGACGCCGCGUGAGGGAUGACGGCCUUCGGGUUGUAAACCUCUUUCAGCAGGGAAGAAGCGAAAGUGACGGUACCUGCAGAAGAAGCGCCGGCUAACUACGUGCCAGCAGCCGCGGUAAUACGUAGGGCGCAAGCGUUGUCCGGAAUUAUUGGGCGUAAAGAGCUCGUAGGCGGCUUGUCACGUCGGAUGUGAAAGCCCGGGGCUUAACCCCGGGUCUGCAUUCGAUACGGGCUAGCUAGAGUGUGGUAGGGGAGAUCGGAAUUCCUGGUGUAGCGGUGAAAUGCGCAGAUAUCAGGAGGAACACCGGUGGCGAAGGCGGAUCUCUGGGCCAUUACUGACGCUGAGGAGCGAAAGCGUGGGGAGCGAACAGGAUUAGAUACCCUGGUAGUCCACGCCGUAAACGUUGGGAACUAGGUGUUGGCGACAUUCCACGUCGUCGGUGCCGCAGCUAACGCAUUAAGUUCC